CAAGAGGGCCCGAAUCUGGGUAAAACAUCGUGUCCCUUACCUCCUGUUACCAUUGAUCCUAAGACGCACUGCUUGGGAACCCCUACCCGAGAUCCACCGGUUUUGACACCGACAGACAUUUUAAUUACCCAUGAUGCAUUUUCUUUUUGUUAACUUAUUUCAUUGUUCUCAUCUGCCAACAAAAUUCUCUAUUACGGUGCAAUUAUAAAGCUUAUACUUCAGUCAUUUCUGUUUUUUUGUAUCACAACAGUUUUGAGAUUGGCCUUGUUAUCAUUGUACAAGACAUCUUAGGUAAGAUCCCAUGUGCUGAUGGGUUAGUUUCUCAUGUAAACUCAUCUUUUAUGGUGUUCUGUGAUAAUCAUGGCAGACUAAAGAUAUGUUAUCUAUGCGGUAUAAUAGUACCAUUAAAAUUCAAGCUCCCUUUGGCAUUGUAACAGUGCUGUCUAAUUAUCAUGCAGCGCAAAUAUCUAACUAAAUUGCGCUAUGGAGCUUGCAUUGCUUUUAGUUUUGGACAUGAACAUAGAUGCCUCUGAUUAUUACCUUGGGACAUGGCUUUUGCCUUCGAAAUUUUUGUUAUUCUGAACUAUGCUUAUGGAUCUCAUUUAAUCAGGUGCACACACAUUUGCAGUGUUUAUCAACUAGUACAGGUCGCUGUCUGUCGUCUCUUUCUAUCUGCUCCUCCUCUCGUUGACUUGGCAUGCUGGUCCCUGCCGUGUCUCCCACUGGCUUGCCCCUUGCCAUCGUCAGGAGGGUUGUGUGGGCUGUUCUACAUUGGAAUCCAUAUUAACUAUGAAAAGAUCGCCACCAUGCCGUCUCUCUCUGUGACCGCCUCUCCCAACGUUUUGGUUUGUUGGUUGACGUUGUGUCUCCCGCCGCCAUUGCUGGAAGGGUUGUGUAGGCCGCCGCUCAUGCCACUACUCUAUAGUGACCAGUGAGGACCGUGGCAUCGAGAUAGCCCAAAAGGGAAACACCACCGGCCACGGCGCCGGUGGAGGCCUCCCCGUCUGCCGAUGACUGGAUACCACCGCCUCCGCCACUGCCAUUGUCUUUGUUGCUUCUUUGCUGGCCUUUGAUCAAGUCAAAGGCAACAGGAAGGCACAACGGCGAUCAAGGUCCUUAUAAAAUAAGAUCCCAUGGUUAUUUGUGUUGUCACUUCGCAUGCGAAAAUAAUUAUGUGUGGUUUCAUGGACUCUUACCUUAUUGAUGGGCACCAGGCAGAGCCUGGGGAGAUGUAGGCCAGCGCUCCGCCUCUCUCACUUUCCAAGUCACCGUUGAGCCGCCUUCUUUGCUUCAGAGGCUUCUUGUGUCACCAUAGCAGAUCCGUGCAUCACAACAUGCAUGCAAAUCAAACGAAGGAGUGUGGAGAAAGUUAUAUAUCAAGCAAAUUGGAUGAAGGCGUGUGGAUAAAGUUAUAUAUCCAAUAGCCAACCAUGUACUACUUUGGUGAUCUAAACGUUCUUAUAUUUCUUUACGGAGAGAGUAGUUUGUUGUGCAAUAUGAAAAACAUUGUAAAUAAGUUAUCUGGGACUAAUACUAUGGCCUGCUUUUUGGUUUCUAUCAUACCAGACCUUGCUCAGGUGUUUCA